rnacentral:rRNA from 1 species
UACAGAGACUGCAAGCGUUAUUCGGAUUCACUGGGCGUAAAGGGUGCGCAGGCGGCCAAGUGUGUGAGGCGUGAAAGCCUGGAGCUUAACUCCAGAAUUGCACCUCAAACUACAUGGCUAGAGCAUUGGAGAGGGUAGCGGAAUUCACGGUGUAGCAGUGAAAUGCGUAGAUAUCGUGAGGAACACCAGAGGCGAAGGCGGCUACCUGGACAAUUGCUGACGCUCAGGCACGAAAGCGUGGGGAGCGAACAGG